rnacentral:ribozyme from 12 species
ACAUUUUUUGUUUUUCUGUUUCAUUCUUUUUUGUUUUUGUUUUUCGUUCCCCCGCACAUUCAAAUGUUUUAUUUAAAAGAAAAAAAAGAAAAGACGUGAGAGACGGCAUG